CAGCUUGCUGGGGGAUUAGUGGCGAACGGGUGAGUAACACGUGAGUAACCUGCCCUUAACUCUGGGAUAAGCCUGGGAAACUGGGUCUAAUACCGGAUAUGACUCCUCAUCGCAUGGUGGGGGGUGGAAAGCUUUAUUGUGGUUUUGGAUGGACUCGCGGCCUAUCAGCUUGUUGGUGAGGUAAUGGCUCACCAAGGCGACGACGGGUAGCCGGCCUGAGAGGGUGACCGGCCACACUGGGACUGAGACACGGCCCAGACUCCUACGGGAGGCAGCAGUGGGGAAUAUUGCACAAUGGGCGCAAGCCUGAUGCAGCGACGCCGCGUGAGGGAUGACGGCCUUCGGGUUGUAAACCUCUUUCAGUAGGGAAGAAGCGAAAGUGACGGUACCUGCAGAAGAAGCGCCGGCUAACUACGUGCCAGCAGCCGCGGUAAUACGUAGGGCGCAAGCGUUAUCCGGAAUUAUUGGGCGUAAAGAGCUCGUAGGCGGUUUGUCGCGUCUGCCGUGAAAGUCCGGGGCUCAACUCCGGAUCUGCGGUGGGUACGGGCAGACUAGAGUGAUGUAGGGGAGACUGGAAUUCCUGGUGUAGCGGUGAAAUGCGCAGAUAUCAGGAGGAACACCGAUGGCGAAGGCAGGUCUCUGGGCAUUAACUGACGCUGAGGAGCGAAAGCAUGGGGAGCGAACAGGAUUAGAUACCCUGGUAGUCCAUGCCGUAAACGUUGGGCACUAGGUGUGGGGGACAUUCCACGUUUUCCGUACCGUAGCUAACGCAUUAAGUGCCCCGCCUGGGGAGUACGGCCGCAAGGCUAAAACUCAAAGGAAUUGACGGGGGCCCGC
rnacentral:rRNA from 1 species